GAUGAACGCUGGCGGCGUGCCUAAUACAUGCAAGUCGAGCGAACAGACGAGGAGCUUGCUCCUCUGACGUUAGCGGCGGACGGGUGAGUAACACGUGGAUAACCUACCUAUAAGACUGGGAUAACUUCGGGAAACCGGAGCUAAUACCGGAUAAUAUUUUGAACCGCAUGGUUCAAAAGUGAAAGACGGUCUUGCUGUCACUUAUAGAUGGAUCCCGCCGCAUUAGCUAGUUGGUAAGGUAACGGCUUACCAAGGCAACGAUGCAUAGCCGACCUGAGAGGGUGAUCGGCCACACUGGAACUGAGACACGGUCCAGACUCCUACGGGAGGCAGCAGUAGGGAAUCUUCCGCAAUGGGCGAAAGCCUGACGGAGCAACGCCGCGUGAGUGAUGAAGGUCUUCGGAUCGUAAAACUCUGUUAUUAGGGAAGAACAAAUGUGUAAGUAACUAUGCACGUCUUGACGGUACCUAAUCAGAAAGCCACGGCUAACUACGUG
rnacentral:rRNA from 1 species